ensembl:ncRNA H32C10.99 ncRNA
UUUUCGUAGAUUUCCUUACGGAUAGGUUUGGCAAGUGCGGAAAAAUCGUGAACAGUUUCACAUUUGUUAUAAGAUUUGGAAGAUUUUUUUAAAAGUGAUUGUUCCAUCCGGUUUAAACAUAUAAUUUAAUUUUUUUUUUCAUUAAAA